rnacentral:rRNA from 1 species
GUGUCAGCAGCCGCGGUAAUACGAAGGGGGCUAGCGUUGCUUGGAAUCACUGGGCGUAAAGGGCGCGUAGGCGGCCAUUCAAGUCGGGGGUGAAAGCCUGUGGCUCAACCACAGAAUUGCCUUCGAUACUGUUUGGCUUGAGUUUGGUAGAGGUUGGUGGAACUGCGAGUGUAGAGGUGAAGUUCGUAGAUAUUCGCAAGAACACCAGUGGCGAAGGCGGCCAACUGGACCAAUACUGACGCUGAGGCGCGAAAGCGUAGGGAGUAAACAGGAUUAGAUACCCCCGUAGUCC